GGUGAGACGAAUUCGUAUUUGACUCGUGGCGAAAGAAAAGCUUCGGCAAUUUGGCGUGCGCAAGCGCACGCGACUGCUACCGAUUAUAUCCGAAACCGUGUCGCCUUUUUGUUGGUUGAUGACCAUUUGCGUCGGCGGCGAAACCGGAAUAAAAGCGAUUCCAUCUGAGUUCUCUGUACAGAAAUCGACAGUCGUUAGUCAAAUCGAUUGAUCUCAAAUGUUUCUUUAUGUCUUCAUUAAUCAUACAGACCAAUGAGAAACUGUUCUAUUGAAACCAGAGGGGUCGAGUGUAAGGAGUUCCCAAAGGAAUUGGCUGCGACGAAAGUCGACAACUCGUGGGAAAGUUAAGGGGCGCCAACCGUUUUUGAAGCAGAGAAUACAUAGCAGCGAGACCAAGAGACGCUGGGGGUGGACAUGUAAUUGAUACGCUCCGCAGGAUCGUGUUUGAAUUUCAUUAAGGCCCUAAUGCCACCUCUGGAUCUAUUCCGCUUCACUGGUUCAUCCACUCGAACGAUCAGGAAUCCACUGACCAGACACUUUGUCACUCUUUCUUUCUCUUCUGGCGACAGUCUCACGAUUCAAAAGUGCAUCGGUUCUUGAGCUUCUUCUGAAGGAUUAGCUUCCGUGAACGCGCAAAAUUUGCAUGGGAAAGUUCAAGAGAUAACUCAGGAGUUUUUGCAACGUUCAGAGAUUGAGUUACAUUUUUGUGAAAUUUGUAACAAAAUUUUGAAUAUUAUUCUUUGAAUAAGCAAGAAAUCUAUUCAAUGUGGGAUACACUAUUUAAUGAAUUAUGUCAAGAAUUAUUUUCAUAAUUUAAAUAUCUAUAUAUAUAUACAUAUAUUUCUGAAAAUGAUGUACAGAAACUAGGAAAGAAAUAAUCUGGAAGAUUAAA